CAACCUCAACACCCACAACCCGAGCUACAGAUCUACUCCAAAACCUUAGAAAUAUCAACAGUUUUUAAAGUACAUGUUUGAUAAUCUGACGUGUUAUCUCUGGUGGCACAGGCCAUCUUUAAUUGAAAUCCUAAAAGACAAAAAUUCUCCUCAUUUCAAAGCCGAUGAUUGUUUGAAACCCUGUACACUUGUAUGUUGAGGUUAAAGUUUGUUACCUUUUAGUACUGGAUUGGAAGUUUACUACUUUUGAUCAGUGAGUUUAUAUAUUUUUACACUGACUUUUUACCUGAUGAGAAUGCAAAGGAAGAUCAUGAAUGUUCAAUGCGUUACUUUACAAUGAUGAAAAGGAGCUAAAGGAUACAUAAGAUUACUUCCGCAUCUAACUAUUUAUAUGCUCUCUGUUCUCAACAGGUGCUGUAGUUGCACGUGAAUAUGGGUUACCUUGUAUUGUGAGUUGCAAAAAUGCAACAAAUCUAUUCAAAUCAGGUGAUACCGUGAUACUCAAUGGGAGGAAUGGAUUUGUGCAGAAAGUUUGAAAAAAAGUGAAAAUUUGAAUGUAUUUAUAAGGCAACAUAAACUUUGUAUCUAAAUUUCUAAGACUGCAGUUUGAAGUUAAACAUAAAUAAUCACACAACUUUGAAGUGUUAAAUAUAUUAUGUGUAUCUAUUUUUAUAUAUACAAUAUAUACUACCUGCAUUGUUUUUAAAAACUAGAUUGUGACACUCAAAUUUUUCUUCCUGCUGCACAGACCUCCAAACUUUUGGAAAUGGAAGUGAUUUGUCAGCAUGAACAUCUUAAGAAGAAAUGUUGCUGAAGUGUUAUUCUGCAUGUUUUGAAUCUGCCCACAAUCACCCAUAUCUCCCAAAUAUUCCUUGAACCACAGUCUUGCCUCCACCUGUGAUCCAUGCUCAAUCCCAAGUGCCUAAAUGCACCUUGUUGGCCUCUCUCUCUUCAGCAGCUCAUACUGUCUCAUCAUUGCAUGCGGUGAAGAAUGAAAUGUAAUGCUUCAAACCCUUCUGUUCAAGUAUGAAGAACUGCAGACUUCCAACAAACCCAGGGCAUCAAUAAUUCCACUAGCUUCUUCUGCCUCUUCAUUUUAUCCUGACCCCUUUCUUCCAGCCUCACUCCAUGCUGUGUUUUUACGAUCUCUCUCUGACUGCUCCCUCUCUGCCAUGGUCAUUUAUUCCUCAGCAUAGGCUGGAAAUUCAUCCCUUUAAAUCUCCACUCCAAUUAACAACAUGAUGAUGAGCUCUUCUUCCAUUGCCGUCAUCUCCAUCCCAUUUCCUCAGCCAACAGUAUUCUGCCCAUUCAGCAAAAUUUGGUGUGGAAUUCCAACAGUGUGGAAGCAGGCCAUUCAGCCUAUCGAGUCCACACCAACCCAGAUCUAUACCCCUUACCCUAUAACCCUGCAUUUCCCAUGGCUAAUCCACUUAGCCUGCUUACGCUUAGAACUAUGGCCAACUUAGCAUGACAAUCCACUUAGCUUGCACAUCUUUGGACCGUGGGAGGAAACAGGAGCAUGCGGAGGAAACCCACACAGAUGUGGCAACAAUGUGCAAACUCCACA